UACAGAGACUGCAAGCGUUUAUUCGGAUUCACUGGGCGUAAAGGGUGCGGCAGGCGGCCAAGUGUGUCAGGUGUGAAAUCCCGAGGCUUAACCUCGGAACUGCGCCUGAAACUACUUGGCUAGAGUACUGGAGAGGGUAACGGAAUUCACGGUGUAGCAGUGAAAUGCGUAGAUAUCGUGAGGAACACCAGAGGCGAAGGCGGUUACCUGGACAGUUACUGACGCUCAGGCACGAAAAGCGUGGGGGAGCAAAAAGGG
rnacentral:rRNA from 1 species